UACGUAGGGCGCAAGCGUUGUCCGGAAUUAUUGGGCGUAAAGAGCUCGUAGGCGGCCUGUUGCGUCCGCUGUGAAAUCCCGGGGCUCAACCCCGGGCCUGCAGUGGAUACGGGCUGGCUAGAGGCAGGCAGGGGAGAACGGAAUUCCUGGUGUAGCGGUGAAAUGCGCAGAUAUCAGGGAGGAACGACCGGUAGGCGAAGGCGGUUCUCUG
rnacentral:rRNA from 1 species